CGCAGAACGGGGUCGCAUGGUUCCCGUGGCCGUCCGGAAGGCGGCCGGGGAUCAAAAGGGAAUGCGGAAGGGGCCGACCCACUCCGGGGGCCCCCGCCCGCAGCCGCCCCCGCGACUGUCAGCGGCGAGCGGCCGGCCCUCAGGCCACUGGGAUCUGACCCCGGGAAGGCGGCCGGUUGCAGCGACCCGCGAGCCAGGAGACCUGCCAUGCAUGGACAUAGCCA
rnacentral:ncRNA from 2 species